GAGGGUAUAGCUCAAGUGGUAGAGCACAUACUUAGCAUGCAUGAGGUUUUGAGUUCAAUCCCCACUACCUCCU
rnacentral:tRNA from 1 species